ensembl:lncRNA
CAGAGAGAGGAACAGUGUAUUCCCCAUGGAAAAUGACAUCAGGCUCUGUUGGGGGCACUAAAACUCCGACUUCUCUUACUGGCUCAAAAGCAUAGGCAAUUGGAUGCCUGCCCUCAUUGAAUUCCAGAGAUGUGUGAUGAAAAAAUUGGUGGAGCUCAUGGAGAUGGUGAAAAGAAUUGAGGCGGACCACCAAAGGGGAGGGACAUACCUGAGGGACAUUAAAAACCAUGUCGACCAUGGACGAGGUCCUCAUGUUAGAAGACAAGCUCAAUCAGGAGGAGGAGAGACAGGCUCUGGUAAGAUAUCAUAUGCCACUUAUCACAACCAAUGCAAACUGAUGAGGGCAUUGAUGAGGUGUUGUUGUCCUAUGCCCUCAUCAGUAGGUUAUUGACUUAAUAAUUGGCUUAAGAUUCUAUAUUUACUGUCUAUUUACUUCUUUCACAGAUGGCACAGUUAAGCAAGGUCGGG